AAUUAAGUUUGUUAUUGGUAUGAACUUUCAUGUGCAUGCACACUUCUUCAGAUACCUAUCUGAAGAAGUGUGCAUGCACACGAAAGCUCAUACCAAUAACAAACUUAGUUGG
rnacentral:miRNA from 1 species